rnacentral:misc_RNA from 1 species
AUCGCGUCUCCCCCACCCCCGCCCUGAGCGGGGAGGGGGAGGAUGAUGGCUUCCCGUGCCUCACCGGGCGCGGCUGGCCUAAAAUUGGAGCCCACGGCAUCGAGCUGCCGCGGCGAUAGGUGGAGAACGCGGCCUAGGCCGUCGACAAAACCAGUCGUGGCAGCCCCUUGCCAGGGGAGCUCGCAGGACCCUGUGAUGUUGCCUCGUUGCAACUCGAAACCG